AUUGAACGCUGGCGGAAUGCUUUACACAUGCAAGUCGAACGGCAGCACGGACUUCGGUCUGGUGGCGAGUGGCGAACGGGUGAGUAAUACAUCGGAACGUGCCCAGUCGUGGGGGAUAACGUAGCGAAAGCUACGCUAAUACCGCAUACGAUCUAAGGAUGAAAGCGGGGGAUCGCAAGACCUCGCGCGAUUGGAGCGGCCGAUGGCAGAUUAGGUAGUUGGUGGGGUAAAGGCUCACCAAGCCGACGACCUGUAGCUGGUCUGAGAGGACGACGAGCAAUCCUGGGACUGGGACACGGCCCAGACUCCUACGGGAGGCAGCAGUGAGAAAUUUUGGACAAUGGGCGCAAGCCUGAUCCAGCCAUUCCGCGUGCAGGAUGAAGGCCCUCGGGUUGUAAACUGCUUUUGUACGGAACGAAAAGGCUCUGGUUAAUACCCGGGGCUCAUGACGGUACCGUAAGAAUAAGCACCGGCUAACUACGUGCCAGCCGCCGCAGUAA
rnacentral:rRNA from 1 species